UCUGUUUCUUCUUCUUCUUCUUCUA
rnacentral:sRNA from 1 species